rnacentral:lncRNA from 1 species
GUUUUGUGGUAUGAAUGGUGUUCAGAAAUAUGUAGGGGGGGGUCAUCUCCAUACAAAUGUGCUGGGCUUUCCGUAUAAAUAUGCCGUUGGUGUUGCGACUGGGACCGGCGGUGGCGGUGCGAAUUCCCUUUGCAUGAAUGCUACAUGGUUACCGUAUUUUUGCGUUUCUGCUUUUCCAGUAAGUACAUCCAAGCGGGUGGUACUUCGACGGCCGUAUUCUGAUUAAUUAAGUUCUUGUUUUUCUUCUCCUUAAGUGUUUCCGGGGCCUCAGUGAGCAAGGUUUGCGGCUUCCUGGCCACCGGUCUUAUUGUUUUGGCCUCCUCCCAAUGAAUUUUUGCAUCCUUGGCAUGCGCUUCCUCGGCCGGCGCUGUGCGAGGGUUGCCCUGUGG